GAUGAACGCUGGCGGCGUGCCUAACACAUGCAAGUCGAACGGAGUCGUUUUGGAAAUCUCUUCGGAGAUGGAAUUCUCGACUUAGUGGCGGACGGGUGAGUAACGCGUGAGCAAUCUGCCUUUAAGAGGGGGAUAACAGUCGGAAACGGCUGCUACUACCGCAUAAAGCAUUAAAUUCGCAUGUUUUUGAUGCCAACGGAGCAAUCCGCUUUUAGAUGAGCUCGCGUCUGAUUAGCUAGUUGGCGGGGUAACGGCCCACCAAGGCGACGAUCAGUAGCCGGACGUAGAGGAUGAACGGCCACAUUGGGACAGAGACACGGCGCAGACUCCUACGGGAGGCAGCGGUGGGGAAUAGUGCACAAGGAGGGAAACCCUGACGCAGCAACGCCGCGUGAUUGAAGAAGGCCUUCGGGUUGUAAAGAUCUUUAAUCAGGGACGAAACAAAUGACGGUACCUGAAGAAUAAGCUCCGGCUAACUACGGG
rnacentral:rRNA from 1 species